GGGCUUGCAUGGGCAGCACAUAUACUAAAAUUGGAAUGAUACAGAGAAGAUUAGCAUGGAUCCUGCAUGAGGAUGACAUGCAAAUUUGUGAAGCGUUCCAUAUUUAA